rnacentral:lncRNA from 1 species
UAGUGCGCUCUCUAUAGCGACAAAUCGGCUUUGGGAUUUUCAUUUCCCUUCGAGUGUAAAAAUGUUGUGUUUGCGUGAGUUUCCUCUGACAUCCGAUUCACUAUCAACAAUUGGAAUACUGUCCAACCUUGAAGAGCUGUACCUUAAAGACACAAUCAUCGAGGGGGAAGAAUGGAACAUGGGGGAGGAAGACACCUUCCAGAAUCUCAAAUGUUUGACAUUGCAGCGAGUGAAUCUUGCUAAGUGGGAGGUUAGAGAGGAAUCCUUUCCUGUGCUUGAGAAAUUACGACAGCGGGAUUGUCGUUAGCUUGAGGAGAUUCAGCCAAGUUUCGGGGAUAUUUGUUCAUUAAAAAGUAUCGAACUGAAGUGGAGCCCUCAACUUGUAGAAUCUGCUCUGAAGAUUAAGCAAGAUGUUGAAGAUAUGAUGGGGGAUAUUCAGGUCCUUGUUUAUAACUGAUCAAGUUUUGAGCAUUUUUACCUUGGGAAAAUAGGUGAGUACAGACGAAUUUAUUACCUCCUCAUUUUCAGUAUAAGUGGCAGAGUUUGACCAGUGUAAUUUUCUUUUGCAGAGUUUGACGAGUUGUUUGCAUAUCAUAUGUUACUGCUCAAGUCCAAAAACAUAUGAUGGAAUAAUUCUUUAGGAAGUUGAUUUGGAGGAUUGCAAGAAGUGAAACAAAAGGUGGGCAACCUCUGUACUAUAUGAAAGUUAUCUUAUAUCUCAGAUUUUUCAAGUUUUUAUAUAUCUUUCAACAAAUACCUUCACAAUCAGCUCAUCGGCGCAUAGAGUUUUAGUUGUGAUGCAGGCUGGUGGAAUUUGGACAAGAGGGGUUGCUCUGAUGGUAAGAAACCCCCACUUCCAACCGAGAGGUUGUGAGUUCGAGUCUCCGAAAGAGCAAGGUGGGAAGUUUCUUGGAGGGAAAGAUGCUGGGGGUCUAUUUGGAAACAGCCUCUCUACCCCAGGGUAGAGGUAAGGUCUGAGUACAUACUACCCUCCCCAGACCCCACUAUGUGGGAUUAUACUAGGUCAAAAUAAUUUGAAUUCCUUUAUUUUCCGAAAAGAAGAGGACAUGAUGAGGGUUAUAGCAUUAAGUUAUUACAAUUUACGUGAUCCCUUGAAGUCGUGCUUGAUUCACCUUGCAAGUAUUCCGAAGGACGAAGUAAUUCCAAUCCGUAAUUUGGAAAUUUUAUGGCCUGCUGAAGGAUUUUUGGAGCAGAGAGAGAAGAAGAGUGUGGAAGAAGUGGUUGCGAUUUAUCUGGAUAAUUUAAUUUCCAGUAGCUUGGUAAUUUCUUUCGAUAAAAUAGGUGACGAUCAGACUUGCCAAAUUCAUGAUCUUGUGCAUGAGUUUUGUUUGAUAAAAGCAAGAGAGGAAAAGUUAUUUGACUUGAUAAGUUCAAGUGCUCCAUCAUCAUCUUCUUCAGAUUUGAUGCCACGUCAAAUGAACAUUGCAUAUAGUAAGUGGCAUAACAACAGGCAUUCUGGUAAACACCUUUAUUCUUUGAGGAUAACUGGACACAAGUUUGGUGACAAUAGUCUUAAUGAUAUAUGUCACCUAAGACACUUGAGGCUUCUUAGAGUGUUGCAACUGGAUGACUCUUCAAUUCUGUUGAGUGAUUCUUUGUUGAAUGAAAUAUGCAGACUGGUUCAUUUGAGAUACUUAGAGAUUCGCACAGAAGUUAAAUCUCUGCCUUCGUCGUUUUCAAAUCUCUUGAAUCUGGAAACUCUGUGGGUGAAUAAAUAUGGACCACCCAUGGUAUUAUUACCAACAAUUUGGAAUCUUAUAAAGUUGCGAGUGCUGGCUAUAUAUAAAUGUUUCUUCUUUGUUUUGUAUAAGAAUGAGUCAAUACUGGUUGCAGAGAACUCAAAGUCAGAGAGCUUGAGAUUAUUACGGGGACUCGAAGUUUCCUAUUCAAAAGACACAGAGGAUAUUUUCAAAAGGUUUCCCAAUCUUCACAAGCUUCGAUUUGAUCUCAAGGAAUCAUGGGAUUGUUCAAGAGGGCGAUAUCGGUUCCCGAAAUUGGACUUCUUAAAUGAACUAGAAUCUCUCGAAGUAACUUUUAUAAGUUCAAAUUCAAAUGAUAGUGCGCUCUCUAUAGCGACAAAUCGGCUUUGGGAUUUUCAUUUCCCUUCGAGUGUAAAAAUGUUGUGUUUGCGUGAGUUUCCUCUGACAUCCGAUUCACUAUCAACAAUUGGAAUACUGUCCAACCUUGAAGAGCUGUACCUUAAAGACACAAUCAUCGAGGGGGAAGAAUGGAACAUGGGGGAGGAAGACACCUUCCAGAAUCUCAAAUGUUUGACAUUGCAGCGAGUGAAUCUUGCUAAGUGGGAGGUUAGAGAGGAAUCCUUUCCUGUGCUUGAGAAAUUACGACAGCGGGAUUGUCGUUAGCUUGAGGAGAUUCAGCCAAGUUUCGGGGAUAUUUGUUCAUUAAAAAGUAUCGAACUGAAGUGGAGCCCUCAACUUGUAGAAUCUGCUCUGAAGAUUAAGCAAGAUGUUGAAGAUAUGAUGGGGGAUAUUCAGGUCCUUGUUUAUAACUGAUCAAGUUUUGAGCAUUUUUACCUUGGGAAAAUAGGUGAGUACAGACGAAUUUAUUACCUCCUCAUUUUCAGUAUAAGUGGCAGAGUUUGACCAGUGUAAUUUUCUUUUGCAGAGUUUGACGAGUUGUUUGCAUAUCAUAUGUUACUGCUCAAGUCCAAAAACAUAUGAUGGAAUAAUUCUUUAGGAAGUUGAUUUGGAGGAUGACAUAUGAUGGAAUAAUUCUUUAGGAAGUGGAUUUGGAGGAUAGCAAGAAGUGAAACAAAAGGUGGGCAACCUCUGUACUAUAUGAAAGUUAUCUUAUAC